UAAAAAAAUGAAAAGUUGAAUAUCUCACAUAACGUUUCACAUCUCCACAAAAUUAACAUAAUUUAUACUUGCCUGUAAUCAUGCAAUCUAAUCCUGCUAGAAUCCGUGACUCUGAUGACCGCUACAAGGAUAUUUUAAGCGAAGCUCGCAAAAACGUUCAAAAAAAUGUAGCAAUAUUUGUCCUUAUGAAUGCAGCGAUACGUAUCACUGCGUUGCUGGUCAGGAAAUUCAAUUUAAUUUAAAAAUUCAACAAAAAUCAGAUAAUGAGGACGAGUAUCUGCACGGUUUUUAGGAGUGUCAUAAAUUACUUCUAACAUUGAUUUCAAUAAAGCAUACUCGCCAAAUACUUUUAGUUAUGACAAAAUUAUUUGCAAUAUCGUAUGUCGUAUGGCGUACUCUAUUCUUUUAUUGAUUUAAUGAAGUUUUAAUAAAAUAAAAGUACGCAAACAGACAAA